UACGAAGGGGGCUAGCGUUGUUCGGAAUUACUGGGCGUAAAGCGCGUGUAGGCGGGUCUUCAAGUCAGGGGGGAAAUGCCAAGGCUCAACCUUGGAACUGCCUUUGAUACUGGAGGUCUUGAGUCCGGGAGAGGUGAGUGGAACUGCGAGUGUAGAGGUGAAAUUCGUAGAUAUUCGCAAGAACACCAGUGGCGAAGGCGGCUCACUGGCCCGAUACUGACGCUGAGGCACGAAAGCGUGGGGAGCAAACAGG
rnacentral:rRNA from 1 species